UACGUAGGCAGCAAGCGUUGUUCGGAGUUACUGGGCGUAAAGGGUGUGUAGGCGGUCUUUUAAGUUUGGUGUGAAAUCUCCCGGCUCAACCGGGAGGGUGCGCCGAAUACUGAGGGACUCGAGUGCGGGAGAGGAAAGUGGAAUUCCUGGUGUAGCGGUGAAAUGACGCAGAUAUCAGGAAGAACACCCGUGGCGAAAGCGGCUCUCUGGAACGGUACUGACGCUGAGACGCGAAAGCGUGGGGAGCGAACAGG
rnacentral:rRNA from 1 species